ACUUCCGUUAGCUGGAUUAAGGUCCUGA
rnacentral:sRNA from 1 species